UGGAUACUUCCUCCGUCCAACAAAAGAUGUCUCAAGUUUGAUAAAAUUUGAAUGUAUCCGGGAAUGACUUAGUGUAUAGAUGCAUUCAAAUUUAAUCAAAGUUGAGACAUCCUUUGUUGGACGGAGGAAGUACAAG
rfam:Brachypodium distachyon strain Bd21 chromosome 2, whole genome shotgun sequence.